AUUGAUUGUUGGUUGCUUAACGUCCAGUGGCAAAUAUUUCAUGCAUGUUCAGGAUGAGAACAAGUUAACAAUAAAAACAAUAGGUAGGUUUUGUCAUAAUAGAGGCCAUUCGGGAUGAUGAUCGGGAAAAUUUAGACUGCCAAUGGAAAAUGAUGGUAUAUUGGAUUGGGACAGAAAUUGUCCAUUGCAACAUGCCACCUACGGACCCCUCAAAGAGUUGAUGCAAGGGUUUUUAACGUGCAAAGAACGUGACACUCCCUUUACACGAGGCAUCGGAUUUAACGUCCCCAUUCUGACCGGACGUGACUGCGAACUUGAUACAUCCCGCACAGCCAAACGGACGCCCCACUUCGUUUUACUGCCGGUCGGGGGAAGACCAAGUGACCAUAUUUCGUUUCCCCAGUCACCCUUGGGGAACUUUAAAUUAGAAACAACAGAAAUCCAUAUAUGUGAUCAAACUAAUCGACAUGUAUCCUCACAACCUGACACUUUUAUACGAUCUCGCGC
rnacentral:lncRNA from 1 species